ensembl:lncRNA
UGAUCAGAAUCGGCCUGUUUCUCUCCUCAGCUGUCCGUUGCUGGAGGACCUGCAGACUCUGAGGGUCCUGAAGAACGGCGACGGCGCAGACGCCGCGUUCCGCAUGCAGAUGUUUAAAUUUGUGGGCGGCUCCUACACCGACGUCUUCCUCCACUGCAACGUGCAGAUCUGCCACGGCGGCCUGGGGGCGUGCCGGCCUGUGAGUCAGCUGGGCCCAGACACGCUCUGAGCACCGAGCUGUCGGCCCCAGAGAUAAACCGGCGUGUCCGCCCUCUGUGUCCACAGAACUGCUCCUCUGAAGACGGGUUUCUGAGAACCAGGAGGGACCUGCCGCGGUCCCACACGCUGACCUAUGGACCAAUCAGGCGGCUGCGCUCCGAAACGCCCGACCUGGAUGCCGCCGGAGUUCCUCCUGUGGAGACCUUGGUCCUGGGGGGGCUGCUGGGGGUCCUGCUGCUGGUCACCGCGGCACUGGGGCGGCUCUGGCUGCGCUCGCGGCGUUUUUACCCCACCCUGGAGGCGCAGCUCACCCUGUCCAACAUUCACCACCUCCAUGAGGGGGCCUCCUGAGCCGUACAUGGGGGGCGAUAAUAAACGUCUGGAAGCUUCUUUCUGUCUCCUUAAGUUCUUAAUAAACCCCAGGAGGGGUCGCCCGAGCCCCCUGGGUCAGAGCAGGAGGGAGGAGGGCAAACCGACGGUUCUGAAAUCAGAUCUCAAGUUUCCUUCAGCAGAUCUUCAGAUGUGUGUAAACCACACAGCCCCCCUGACCCCCAUCCCAUAAUAUCAGAAGUCAUCAGAUAGGAACAAAUGCUGCUGGGGGUCACAAAUGAAGACCUUCACCAUCAUCCUCCAUAAGGAGCCUGCUCCUCCCACUGUUCUCCUCAUGGAGCCCGGAGGCCUCAGACCAGAGUCCAUGAGGUUCCAUGAGGUUAAAGGUUAAUUUAUGGGCGGGAACACAGAGACCUGAGGGAUGGAUUCCUCCUUCCUCACUAAUCCUCAGAUUUGAUUUGUGUCAUGACAGUAAAUAAAAGAAGCAGAAGUUUAAAAUGACUCUUUAACAGCUGAGCGGUGUUUCCGGUCAGCUGUUUGCCGGUUUUCAACCGUUUUCUGUCUUUCCUCGUCCGGAUGUUCGGCAGGAAGGCGCUCGCGCGCAGCACCUCCUCCCGCCUUCAGGGAUUUCCCGUCUAUUUCAGGGCGCUCUCACGCGCCUGCGUAAAUCCCAAAUAUGUCCGACGUGAUGACGUCAGCUGCUGCGCACCAGCGUCCACGCCCCCAAUCGUCCGUCUUACGGACAACAGACAGACUCGGAACCAGAGGAAGAAGCAGCUGCCGGUACCCGCUCGUGGCGCUAACUUUCCCGCUCCGCUAGUUUUCCGAGAAGCUCGUCAAAGACCGGACACACCGGAGGACGCUGUCGCAGCGGCGCCGUGGUUCAGGUGAGCGGCGAGCGGCCACCGGCGAGCUACCGGAGCCGCGGAUGCUAACACCAUGAUGUUGUUGUUGUUUUAUUAUUGUUUAUCCAGAAGCUGUUCGUUUACUCCCGAGUGACUCCUCACCUCCUCGUGUUUACCGACAGUCGUUCGGGUCGGAGCUGAACCCGGUUCUGAAGCGGUUCGGCCAUAAAUAAACGCGGCUCUCUGUUGUCUUGUUGUUUGCUAAGAUGCC